rnacentral:rRNA from 1 species
GAUGAACGCUGGCGGCGUGCCUAAUACAUGCAAGUCGAGCGAACGGACGAGAAGCUUGCUUCUCUGAUGUUAGCGGCGGACGGGUGAGUAACACGUGGAUAACCUACCUAUAAGACUGGGAUAACUUCGGGAAACCGGAGCUAAUACCGGAUAAUAUUUUGAACCGCAUGGUUCAAAAGUGAAAGACGGUCUUGCUGUCACUUAUAGAUGGAUCCGCGCUGCAUUAGCUAGUUGGUAAGGUAACGGCUUACCAAGGCAACGAUGCAUAGCCGACCUGAGAGGGUGAUCGGCCACACUGGAACUGAGACACGGUCCAGACUCCUACGGGAGGCAGCAGUAGGGAAUCUUCCGCAAUGGGCGAAAGCCUGACGGGGCAACGCCGCGUGAGUGAUGAAGGUCUUCGGAUCGUAAAACUCUGUUAUUAGGGGAGAACAUAUGUGUAAGUAACUGUGCACAUCUUGACGGUACCUAAUCAGAAAGCCACGGCUAACUACGUG